rnacentral:rRNA from 1 species
AGAAUCAACGCUGGCGGCGUGCCUCAGACAUGCAAGUCGAACGCGAAAGUCCCCUUCGGGGGACAAGUAGAGUGGCGCACGGGUGAGUAACACGUAGGUAAUCUACCUUCGGAUGGGGAAUAACAACCGGAAACGGUUGCUAAUACCGCAUAAUGCAGCGGCACCUAAUGGUGACAGUUGUUAAAAGCGGGGGGAUCGAAAGACCUCGCGUCUGAAGAGGAGCCUGCGCGGAUUAGCUAGUUGGUAAGGUAAUGGCUUACCAGGGCUACGAUCC